rnacentral:rRNA from 1 species
CGCGUAGGCGGUUUUUUAAGUCAGAUGUGAAAGCCCGGGGCUUAACCCCGGAAGUGCAUUUGAAACUGGAAGACUUGAGUAUGGGAGAGGGAAGUGGAAUUCCUGGUGUAGAGGUGAAAUUCGUAGACAUCAGGAGGAACACCGGUGGCGAAGGCGACUUCCUGGACCAAUACUGACGCUGAGGCGCGAAGGCGUGGGGAGCAAACA